rnacentral:rRNA from 1 species
GACAGAGGUGCCGAGCGUUAGGCGGAAUCACUGGGCUUAAAGCGUGUGUAGGCGGAUCUGUAAGUACCUUGUGGAAUCCCACGGCUCAACCGUGGAACUGCUUGGUAUACUGCGGGUCUUGAGCCACCUAGGGGCAAGUGGAACAAACGGUGGAGCGGUGAAAUGCGUAGAUAUCGUUUGGAACGCCAAUGGUGAAAACAACUUGCUGGGGGUGUGCUGACGCUGAGACACGAAAGCCAGGGGAGCAAACGGG